UACAGAGGUCCCAAGCGUUGUUCGGAUUCACUGGGCUUAAAGCGUGUGUAGGCGGACUUCUAAGUACCUUGUGAAAUCCCACGGCUCACCCGUGGAACUGCUGGGUAUACUGGUCGUCUUGAGCCUUCUAGGGGCUACCGGAACAAAUGGUGGAGCGGUGAAAUGCGUAGAUAUCAUUUGGAACGCCAAUGGUGAAAACAGGUAGCUGGGGAAGUGCUGACGCUGAGACACGAAAGCCAGGGGAGCGAACGGG
rnacentral:rRNA from 1 species